CUUGGCCUUGGGCCGCCCACGGGAGACCGUCGCUUGCGGCGGCGCUCUCGAGGGUGCUUAGCCCUUGAUCAUUACCUUGACUAUGCGCACCUUUGUUGUUCCCUCGGCCGGACGCUUCGCGUUCGGCCGCGAGGAACCCCUUAAACCUUUUGCAAUGAGCAUUAAUCUUCUGAAACAAACCUAAUUAUUUA
rnacentral:misc_RNA from 1 species